UAGACGCGCAUAUGCACUAGCGGCGCACGCGGGCACCCGCCCUGCUUGGAGCUGCCUCCCUCCCGAUCUGUAGACUGAGCUCCCGCCCGCGCCCGGCGACGGCACAGCGCCGGGGACGCGGGAGCCUGGCCUUCCCGUGCGUGUGCAUGAAUGGCAUCACUCUAGGUGGGAUUCUCAGUGUGACAGUUCUGCUAGGAGCAUCUUGUUCCUCACCUGGAUGCCCACAGCCUCCUCCUGCUUCUAGGAAUUGGAGGGCCAUACUCACGUCGCCACUGCUUCUUCAGCCCAGGUCCUGGAAUAACAAGCAGACCGGAGAAAAUGAGGCUGACCUGAAAACCUGAGCCCAGCCAAGUCCAGCCAGAGAUCUGGGGCACAUCUAUGGCUGCACCUGCAUCUAGAAUCAAGGAGAAUAUGACUUCCUGGAACAUGAAAACUAUAAUAGUCAUCUUCAAAUUUCUACUAUUUAUGAGAGUGCCUAAAAUGGUCCAGUGUACAGUAGUUCCAAGAAGGCAAAGAUGAGAAACUCUGGUCCUAAGAACUCUAAACCUCAGGAGACAAGAUACUAUGGGCUGCAGAGAAGGGGCACUUACUUAUUUUGGCGUGUGGAUGGAGAUGAAGGUGGGUGUUGGCCAUGGAAGACUUAACAGAAAAGAAACAUAAAGAGUAAGUAGAAGGCUAUGGUGAAAUAUAAGAGUAUAAAAGCAAUGUUGAAAAGGAAUUUAGAGUUUCCUCUCUAUAACCUUUUGGCUAUAAAGAAACUGAUGCCCUCACAGGCUGUGAUCAGCCCAGUGGCACAGGUGGAGCAGGACACAGGUUUCUGAGAAGAGAACCCACUAUGCUCUACACACCGUGCGAAUGCUUUACUUUCAUCUUCCAUACCCUCUCCUCGACUCUCCUUUGACAAACAAGGAGCCUGAAGGUCCAGAUGCGUGAAGUGAUUUGCCCAAGUGAAGCAACUGUCUAUUAAAUGGCAGAAUCCAGAUCAGAGCUGGCCUCAAAGCCUUAGGUCCCUGAAUGGGGAGACAUUCCUCAGGUUUUCGAAAUUGAAGAUUUAGUUUUCUUUCCAUGUACCCACACUGCUUUACAAUUUAUAAAAUAUCAAAUUAAAACCAGAGCGUUCCCUGUAUU